rnacentral:pre_miRNA from 1 species
GAUAUACUCUCUCCGUCCAACAAAAAAUGUCUCAAGUUUGUCAAAAUUUGAAUAUAUCUAGACAUAACUUAGUGUAUAGAUGCAUUUAAAUUUAGUCAAAGUUGAGCCGGUUGGACAGAGAGAGUAGUUA